CACCAAGGGAGUGAAGUGCAGGUCUACAUCAGCAACGAUAUCUACCCGGCUGGACAUGAUGAUCAGCCACAUUGGAAUUGCUACACGAUCCAUACUCCUACGGGAGGCUGCGGGGCGGAAUUUUACGCAAUGGGCGAAAGCCUGACGCAGCAACGCCGCGUGAGUGAUGAAGGUUUUCGGAUCGUAAAGCUCUGUCAGAGGGGAAGAAACUCCCGGGUGUAAAUAACACUUGGGCCUGACGGUACCCUCAAAGGAAGCACCGGCUAACUCCGUGCCAGCAGCCGCGGUAAUACGGAGGGUGCAAGCGUUGUUCGGAAUUAUUGGGCGUAAAGCGCGUGUAGGCGGUUGUUUAAGUCUGAUGUGAAAGCCCUGGGCUCAACCCGGGAAGUGCAUUGGAAACUGGGCAACUUGAGUACGGGAGAGGGUAGUGGAAUUCCGAGUGUAGGGGUGAAAUCCGUAGAUAUUCGGAGGAACACCGGUGGCGAAGGCGGCUACCUGGACCGAUACUGACGCUGAGACGCGAAAGCGUGGGGAGCAAACAGGAUUAGAUACCCUGGUAGUCCACGCCGUAAACGAUGGGCACUAGGUGUUGCGGGUAUUGACCCUGCAGUGCCAAGCUAACGCAUUAGUGCCCGCUGGGGAGUCGGCGCAGGCUAAAUCAAGGAUUGACGGGGCCGCCAGCGUGGACUGUGUUAAUCGAGCACCGCAAACUACUGGCUACUCCAUCCACUAUGAACUAGUG
rnacentral:rRNA from 1 species